UUGGGCGACGAAGUUGGCCACGACUGGCGCCACCGGGUACGCACCGCUUGUGCUCUAUCCCGUGCCGUUCAAGGCGCUGCUGCUGGGCAUGGGCUUCUUCUACCUCCGUCACCCCAGGUUCCGCGGCGACAUGCCCUCCGCCGGCUUCAACUUCUUCUGCCGCCUGUCGUCGCUCUCCGACCGGGUGCUCUAGCUAGGAUCAAUCGAUCGUUGUUUCUCUUUGAGGUUUUACUGUUGCUGUACUGUGAUCCACUACUGCUUGGUGGGAUCGUUGUCCGAGAUCGCCGUGUCACGAGGUUCUGCAACCCGCGAGACGAGGCCGCACGGAUCUUGGACUGCGGCAGCGGGGCUGUCUAUGGCACAGACCGGCAGUUCCAGGGGCGUGCAGUGACUGCUCCCCUCUGUCUCCAUGUCUACCUGCUUCGUUGAGGGAGAUGACGAGCCUGAGCGAAGGCGCUCAAUCAUUGUGUAUAUCCAGAUUAGCAUGAAUCCAACAACAGGGGAUUGUAUAAUUCUAAACGGCCGCCUGCUACUCAAGCUCAUCCCCUGCCUCUUCGCUCCUCCACCAUGGGGUGAUCAAUCACUCAAAACUCACAGUUCUGCAGCUGCAUAUGAUUUCUUCAGGACCAUCAGCAUGGAUGUUCAGUUAUCACACAAUUCUACCACUACAUUGGACGAGGAUGAGAUGAUUGGGCUAAAGGCUUGGCACCAUAUUUAUUGCCAGACAAGAUAAGUUAUCCACAUUACUUCCUUCCUGGUCUGCUUGGAAUAUAGGAAGUAUGUGUACUUUCUAUACUAUGAGCAUACGUUUUCUUAAUCAAAUAUAUAUCAUUGCAUUUUCAGCCAUGCAUGUGAAUGCUUAGGAAGACACAACAUAAAUAGUUCAGUUUUGUUGUUGUUCAAUUCUAUUUAACAGAUGCAGACCCACACAUAAAUUCAAUUUUUUACUGACACUUUUCUACAGAGAAUGCUUUCCAUUAAUAUUUCUCCUUGAUAAUUUAUUUUCCCCUUGGCAUUCAUCCACCUUAUCGAAUCUGAUAAAUUGAUCUUGACUACCAAUCUGUCUAAUGUAAUCGAUGAAGGACAUGGCAUUAGCAGGAGUCAACAUACUGUGCGAACGGUGAGCAAAACCCUAUAUUUUUCAAAUAUUUCUUUUUUUUGCGCCACAGCUGCUCAGUGAAUCAUCAGUUUUGUUUCAAUAUGGUUACAACCAGCCAUCAAAGCAGAAGAUAGGUGGAUUGUUGAAAAAGGUUAGUGGUCUGCGAUUCACUUUUGGGCAUGAGGACAUCCGUGCGAGCAUCUUCAACCUACUCUUUUUAUCAGCUCACAACGCAUGGUUUAUGUCUGUCUGAUUACUCAAGUUGCGGCCAUGCGUUACAUUAGGAUUAAACAAAUAACAGAAAGUUAAAUACUCAGAGGUCGACUCUACCAUGAAAUUUUAACCUCUUACUGCAAAUGUGAUAAAAUUUGUACUGCAUUACAUGCAUAAAAAUAGAGCCACCAUGUGAACCAUGUAGUUCUUUUCUAAAGACUACUUUUAUUGUUUUUCUUCUUUACACCACUACUCUGAAUAUUUUGAUGUACUGAAUAAUAUGUGUCUCGAUUCCAGACUUUCUGUCUCAGUGGUAACAGCUAAUCAAAGUUUUGGUAGCUUAAAAAUAAAUUUAUAUUAUUUUUCAAUUUAACUAAAAAAUUGCUAGCAUAGAGGCAUGGCAAAUUUGGCUUGCUUUGUACUAUAACAAUUUUGUAGGCAUCAACUUAGAUGUGUUCUAUUCUGGUAGGAGGGUGUAGGGAUAAUUUUUUUCGUUGCGAGGCACAUGAUGGGAUUGCUAAAGGUGUGUGCUAGAUUGUGACGAUCAGGCUCAUUACCUGAGAUUGAUCUUGUUCGUCAUGAAUAGAUGGACAACAUGACCAUGAUGGUGAAGAGAGUGGUAACACCGAUGGGUCGCUUGGAACAUGCGAUGAUUUGUUUUUUCCCGUUGCAACGCACGGGCAUAUGAGAGUGAGGACAUGCAUAGGGUUGUUGCUUCCUACUGGUACAUAACUAUUUUCUUUGUACAAGUACUAUGUUGAUUCUUCAGAGAUCUCGUCUUCAUGAGACUAGCGAAGGGGGUAUAGGUUAGGAAGAAGGGGAGAUGAGGUGAGUUUCUGAAGUUCACCAUUCAAUCUAAAUAUCACAAAAGGUGAGCAUUACUAUUCAAAGGGUUGACUAAUUAAUUAACUCUUAAUCUAUUUUUAUAGGAAUUAACAAGAUAGUAUAUGGGCUGAAUAAUUUUGAACUAGCUACUAUUUCUAAAUGGAGUGCCAUGUUCAAAUAGAAGAAGUGAAGUUGUGGUGGGUUCUGAGCCAUGCUUUAGGAAAGGGGUGUACCAUAUUAUUUUUCUCCCGUUGCAACGCAAGGGCUUUUUUGCUAGUAAUAAUAAAGCACGGAUUGACUUUGUCGGGUUCACCGUCACAAUACGCUUUCUUCUCAUGUCAUAAUACGCUUUUACGAUCUGUAUAAACAAAAUCGUAAUAUAAACGAGGUGGUACUAAUUUGGGGUCCGCACGUAAACAAAAGCUUCCUCUGUUUGUUCCCUGCCGUAUUUGAUGUGUAUUAGGCCUGCCCUACGCACUUUUGGGCCUCAGCCACGGCCAGUCUAGCACUCUUCCGAUCCCAAAAAGACCAACACGUCAAGCUGCACAAUACACAUAUGUUCGGCAAGGGCCGAGUGGGCUUCUAAUCAGCCUUUUCAUGUUAGUUUACUCAUUAAAAAGAUAGCCCCACAUCGCUUUGUAACAAUGAGUCCCACCAGUUUAAAUAUGUGAGCAAGUUGCCUAAGGACAAGCCUUGUUGGGAAUUAAAUAAUUGGAGGAUGAGGCAUGGAUCUGUUGAAAAACAAAAGAGAGGGGCGAGCUCAGGCAGUGCUAAUUAACGAGGGAAAAGGAAGGCGUAUUAACGAGGGAGGGAGUAGGAAGGGCUGAGGAGGAAAUCACGCAUGCCAAUUAAUGAGGGAAAAAGGAUGCAGGCCUAUGUGUCUAAGAACUUGCUCGUGAAUGAGAAAAAAAGAGGAUUCAGGCCUAAUGACGAGUCGCCUAGGUCCGCUACCCAGGGAACUCCAGCGAACGAAGUCUUGUGCCCACCUCCCCGACCGGGGCGCCGGACGACCAACACUCCGCGCCGCCGUCCUCCACUCUCGAUCGAGUCGUCUAGGAGUACGUGCAUGCCCUUCUCCGGCUGACAUCCGGGUUCAUCGGCUCACCGCGUGCUCUGCGUGCGUUUGCCUGCUGCUGCGUGCAUGCAUGCCUGGCUCGCGUGUGUGUGGUGCGCGUGCAUGCUGUUGCCGCUGACUGCUACACCUCCGGCUGGCUGCUGGAGUUGCUAGAUAGAAUAUGAUCCGUAUUUUAAAGUUCUUACAAAUUGAACUGGCUACUUGUUAUUUCUCCUGUACAAUAGGAGAGAUAUCGAUAUGUUUUUCUAAAAAAGGAGAGUAUGAAUUCAAGGGCCGUGCUUCAUCUAUUCUGUGAUACGCCGUCGUACAACACAAGUACUUUUUUUCGAAACGGUGGCAAAAGAUUUACCUCAUCGAUUAAUUACAACAUGAGUACUAUAUUCUAUGCAAUCAGAUUAUGAAUAACUUUGAAGUAGCAUGCUCUGUUGUAACUCUCAACAUGGACUUUUGCCAUUGUACUUUUUGUUCAAGUGCAGUGUGCUAGCAGUGUCACUGUUAUGAUUUUUAUGUGACUUGUGCAUCCAUGGCCACUUCUUUCAAUGUUCUUCAGUUCUUUCAUGGUUUUCUUUUGGAAGUCUGGGAUUUAGGACAACUUAUUUCAGGAGCACUAAACCGUUGUUUGGACAUCAUUCAUGGCCCUUGAUACUUUUGAGUGCUUUUAAUAUUCUUUUGCUUCUUGCGAAAUUGUUUGAAUGAUAAAUUAUUUUUCAGGUUACUCAACAUAUUUUUUUUUCAUUGUAAUGCACAGAUAUGUUUGCUUUUUUUAAUAAUAAAUGGAGCCAAGUUUCUCUUUUUUUUCAUCUGUCAUGGUAUUUACCCGACACAAAUGAAUUAAUGUCCAGUGAAGUGAGAGAGGGGCUAAAACACAUUAUUUAACCCAACCCUUUUAGCUAGAUUUUUUCAGACUCGAUGCACCAUCCGGAAAAAGAAUUGCUGCUCGGUGCGAAUUUCGAAAAAAAAUUCACAGCGUAGUGCAAACACCAAAGAGUACUCCAACUUUCCAAAAUAGUACCUUAUAUGGAAGAUUUGAAUCCUUUAAUAUCAGAACCGUCAUACAAAAUUCAUACCAAAAGUAUUGUAUGUGUAGCGUGGUUUUUUAUGCAUGACUUAUAUGCAUUUUUGCUAGCUUUCGCCAUGCGCCUCAGUGUAGCCAUUAGAUGACACUGUUUAGUUAUUGUUGCGUUGUGCUUAUUCUAUGGACACGUCAAGUAUCUCUUCCGUUGCAACGCACGGACAUUUGUGCUAGUCUUUCCCUAAUAAUAAAGCACGGAUUGACUUUGUCGGGUUCACCGUCACAAUACGCCUCUUCCCGUGAAUUUACGCUUUCAACUUUUUUCACCUAUAUUAUUUUCUAUAUCCGAGGUGGUACUAUUUUACUUGCCUAUAGUACACGUGCGCCCACAACUGGCUGGGCCUCAACCUGAUCUAUUCGGCCUCUGAAAAAGGAUUCAAACCGGGGAACGCCAGAUCCAGCCUUCGUACGAUUGAAUCUAAAAUGAAAAUCAAUCCAAGAUUAAGUUAGAAUUAAUCACGCGUUCGGUAUACGUAUCAAAGCCUGCUAUACCUAACCAAAUAUCGCCACUUUUUACAUCGAACCAUAUCUCCUCUCUCGAGGUUUCCCCGCUUCCGGGAUUUAGGGCUUAUCACCGCCGUAUCAUGUGCAGGAGGCCUCUAUCGAGCGCAUCGUUGGUGCUAAGGAGGAGGGGCUGACGCGGACGGCGAGUGUGGCCGGAGGGAGGCGUUCUCCACUGCCAGAUGCAACCACGUUUGCCGGACUUGAAGCCAUGGGUUCGGGCGCUGGGUGACCCCGUCCCCCGCCGUUAGUCGUAGGCUACCUCUUCCGGCCCCGGAUGCCUCUUCGCCUGCUCCUAACCUCCUGUUAGCUCACUCUAAGCAAGGCCCGGCUCCCACAAGAUCACCGUCGACUGGAUUGAGUGGAGCGUCUCUGGUGGCUUCGCGGCAACAGCAUGUGCACACCAUCGCUCUUCUCCAUGGUUUGCUCACCCUCGCGGUUCAUGGUUUUCAUCCUGAUGUCCUUGCACGUACGGUCGUCGCGCGUGGCCUGGAGCCUGUCCGGUUAGCCGUAGGACCCUGCGCUUCCACCACUCCUCUUCCAGCGAGCGCCUCUAUCUCGCCUGCUGAUGCUGCAGCCGGUGGUCGUCCUGUUCCUCCCUCCACGAGCCUACAUGCUGGCAUGCUGCCGAUCCCUGCAUGAGCACGCUGUCAGAGUACUACUUGGGCCAGGAGAUCCAAAGACAGCGCCCUCCAUGGCUUCAGCAUGGUAGAAUCCGCACACUGGCCAAAGGGAGAUUUUGGUGUUGAAAUUUGAAACGAAGGACUACAACGCUCCAAUGAAAAUUUGAUGGCACCAACGCUCUCCAACGCAAAUUUGAUACAUCAAGCUUAGCUUCUACAUGGCUGUUGUUACAGAAGAUGUAUCAGAGAAGCACUUCCUUAUAAAUUAUUGAUGCUUAAAAAAAUUUGGAUAUCA